CCUACGGGAGGCAGCAGUGGGGAAUAUUGGGCAAUGGGCGCAAGCCUGACCCAGCAACGCCGCGUGAAGGAAGAAGGCUUUCGGGUUGUAAACUUCUUUUCUCAGGGACGAAGCAAGUGACGGUACCUGAGGAAUAAGCCAGGGCUAACUACGUGCCAGCAGCCGCGGUAAUACGUAGGUGGCAAGGGUUAUCCGGAUUUCCUGGGGGUAAAGGGCGUGGAGGCGGGACUGCAAGUCAGAUGUGAAAACCACGGGCUCAACCUGUGAACUGCAUUUGAAACUGUAGUUCUUGAGUGCUGGAGAGGCAGACGGAAUUCCUAGUGUAGCGGUGAAAUGCGUAGAUAUUAGGAGGAACACCAGUGGCGAAGGCGGUCUGCUGGACAGCAACUGACGCUGAGGCGCGAAAGCGUGGGGAGCAAACAGGAUUAGAUACCCCAGUAGUC
rnacentral:rRNA from 1 species